CUGAGGGCUUAAUAGGUUUUCUGAAGGGAUCAUCAAGUCCAGCUCUUGAUUCCAGAAAGUACCUCCCAAAAAUCAAAGUGUGUGUCUGAGAGUGUUGUCCUCUAUGAGAAGAGACCCCCAUCAGUGUUGUUCUGGGAAGGUUAUCCAUGCCAGAUGUUUGCAGUCCAUUACAGUGUUUUGAUUUCUGGCCACCAACACCUCCAAUAAGAAAAUAUCCUGCCAA